GACAGAGGGUGCAAACGUUGUUCGGAAUUACUGGGCGUAAAGCGAGUGUAGGCGGUUCUCAAAGUCGGAUGUGAAAGCCCCGGGCUCAACCCGGGAAGUGCACCCGAUACUGGAGAGCUAGAGUGUCGGAGAGGUUGGUGGAAUUCUCGGUGUAGAGGUGAAAUUCGUAGAUAUCGAGAGGAACACCGGUGGCGAAGGCGGCCAACUGGACGAACACUGACGCUGAGACUCGAAAGCGUGGGGAGCAAACAGG
rnacentral:rRNA from 1 species